GAUGAACGCUGGCGGCGUGCCUAACACAUGCAAGUUGAGCGAUUUACUACGGUAAAGAGCGGCGGACGGGUGAGUAACGCGUGGGUAACCUGCCCUGUACACACGGAUAACAUACCGAAAGGUAUGCUAAUACGAGAUAAUAUACUUUUAUCGCAUGGUAGAAGUAUCAAAGCUCCGGCGGUACAGGAUGGACCCGCGUCUGAUUAGCUAGUUGGUAAGGUAACGGCUUACCAAGGCGACGAUCAGUAGCCGACCUGAGAGGGUGAUCGGCCACAUUGGAACUGAGACACGGUCCAAACUCCUACGGGAGGCAGCAGUGGGGAAUAUUGCACAAUGGGCGAAAGCCUGAUGCAGCAACGCCGCGUGAGCGAUGAAGGCCUUCGGGUCGUAAAGCUCUGUCCUCAAGGAAGAUAAUGACGGUACUUGAGGAGGAAGCCCCGGCUAACUACGUGCCAGCCGCCGCCGUAAUAC
rnacentral:rRNA from 1 species